AAGAUAACAGCUCUCUCUACGGAACGAAUCGACGGACCUUCGCGGUAUUCACCCCGGGGUGAGUCGUUCCUCUCGACUCAUGCCCUAACCCUAAGAGUUCCCUGCCCCCGGCAUGGAUUUCUUCAGAUCGGUCUUCUCUGCGGAUGCCGACCUAUCGACCUCGCAAACCUCUCCUCGUGUCGAUCGCGAUGGCGACUACAACGAGCGAGGAGGUGAGGAUGCCUUUGGCGGCGAAAGCCGUAGUCAUAAUUCUCCGGAAAACGAUGUCGAUGACAGAGGCGACUCUGGAGGGUGGAUCUUCGGAGGACUAAUCGAGACAUUUGCAUCAAAGUCGGAGUCCAUCAUCCAGACAUACCGCCGCGACCUGGCCGAAUUCAGCUCCGGCCUUAAGGAGGAGACUUCGGCGUUCCGGGAGAUUGCUGCGCGUGCUGUCCGUAAUCUUCCUGGGUCACUUGGGGCUGGUGCCUCGUUGGCCCAGGAGUCCCUAGAGUCUGUCGGGGAGGCCAUCGACGAUUUGGGCGGUUCAGUGUGGCGAGGGACUGCUGGCAUCAUUUCCCAGAGCAAGGAAGCGAUCCUAUCUCUGGAGUCUCGGGCUGAUUCAGGAGAUGAAUCGUCCAGUGAUCCAAGGCUGCCGGCCAGUUCCGCUGUCUCUUCUAGGAUUUACAGUCGGUACGAGAUGCUGUUGCUUGCGAUACAGUCAGAUGUGAGUACCUUCACCGAAGACCCAGAGGACACUGAUAACUUCAGCAAGUGGAGAUCGGAAUUUGAUUUGGCAUCGAAAGAAGAGGAGAUGGAAAAUCUUUGCAAUGAGAAUGACACUUUGGAUGGGUUCCUAAACAAGCUGGUGCCUAGUAUUGUGGAUUACAAUACAUUCUGGUGCCAUUACUUUUACAAGGCGCAUAAGCUGAAGCAGGCUGAAGAUGUAAGAGCAAAGCUUGUGAAGAGGGUGAUUUCGAGAGAGGCCGAGGAGGAUUUGAGCUGGGAUGUUGAUGAUGAGGACGAGGAGAAGAUGGAUGAAAAACUCAGAAAGGAGGAAAAUCCAGACCAAACUGGUGAUGUUAAUGUGUUUGGAAAACCAGAAGAGGAGAAAGAUAGUGAUGUGCAGUUAAUAGUGGAUACUUCAACAGAGCAAAAAUCUUCAGUUAUAUCUGAAGAUAGGACUUUGAAGGGAUCGGAUGUGAAGGUUAAUGAGAAAGAGAUAUCAACAUCUGACAAUGCUGAAGAAAGUAAAUUAAUAGUUGAUUCUUUGACCUCCAAGUUGGAUGAAACUGUGCUGACUGAAGGAAAGACAGAUUCUGCAGAGUCAUCCAAGGACAGUGAAUUUUCAAUUAUUUCAAGUCAGAAUUCUAUACCAGAGGAAGAUGAUCUUGGGUGGGAUGAGAUUGAGGAUCUACCAGAGGAUGAAGAGAAGAAACCCGGUGGCUCCAAUGCGACUCUUCUCAAGGUGAAUCUACACAAGAGGCUUAGUGCUGCUGAGGAGGAUGAGGAUCUGAGUUGGGAUAUUAAGGACGAUGAUGAACCCAUCAAGCCUUGAUUUGUGGACUUUCUCUUCACAUUUCUAGUCCUCGCACAUAUUCUAUGGUAUUCUGAUAUCCACUAGGUAAGUCUUAAGAAUUAUUUGUGAAUAAAGUUAUUCUGUAUAUUAAAACUGUUUUUUGGUUGGUCCCAAUGUGACACAUGGUGGAACAAUUCGGCACUGCGUGGCUUGAGUUUGAGAAUUUUUUCCUACUCACUAUAGUUCUAUUCCUAAAGGUGCUUUUCUUUAUUAAAAAAAAACAGUUUUAGGCCUUGUUUGGCAAUUGAAAACUUUCUAUUUUUAUCUUUUAGAAAAUAAAAUAAAUUCAUUAAAGAUGAAGAAGAAAAAAAUAUUUAUCGCAUUAUUCACCUCUGAUAAAUUUAAAUGCAUUAAAAAUACCAAUUCUAAAAAUUUAAUUUAAAUUUUUUUUAGUGAGAUUUUUUUUUUAUUUGUAAAAAACAAACAAGGUCUUAAUAGACCUUCACUAAGAACCAUAUAGCCUGGUUUAGUGGCAAACUAUACUUAGGUUGGAGAGGCAGAGGAAGAGAUACCAACUUUGCUUUUAACAACUUCCCUUUUGGAUUCCACCACUCCGAGACUGAUAGCACGCACACCAGCUUCUUCGAUUUGUUUUGAUAGGCCAAAGUAAUAGUAUAGUUAGAGGUGUUUGGAGCAGGCCUGGCUUGGGCUCAUGCUAAACCAAUUUGGAGGUCGGGCAUAGCUCAAAUUGGUUGAGGUUUGUGCUAGCAUUGAACACGAGCUCAAGCUAGGUUCAGCAAUAAAUAUUUAAUUUAGCUACUAAUUUAUUUUUUUAUAUAAAAAGGUGGGCUAGACUUAUAUAAAAAGGUAGGCUAGGCUUCUUGGCACAUGGGCAUGUCGACUCUGAUCAAGAGCCAACAUGUACCCGCAGGUUGUGACCCCUAUGGCUGGCAUGGAACUUCACAUGGGUCCAUGCUAGUGGGAAACUGACACAAGACGAAUUGCUCAUCUCCACAAUCAAAUUGACACCACAUAGAUUGCCGUGGAUGUCAACAAUGCAUUGGCAUCAUGUUUGGCACCAACUUUGUGUUUGCCAGCAUCAAUAACUGAACAAGGUGGCAGAGUUUCAAAGAGCCCGCUGACCUCACCAUGUUGCAUGUCGUUGCAAGCUGAACCCUGAGAAUGAGCUCCAGUCUUGCCUGAUGAACAUGAGCUACUCCUCGGCCAUGUUGCAAGCUCUACUUGUUGGUGAUGACGACCUUAUCAUGCACAUUGCUACUCUGUUGAUUGACUUCUGGUACAAUAUGACUCGUGUUCAACCUGUCAAGCAGCAGUACAUACACUUUGUUCUGAGAAGCAACACCCAGCUCAACUUUGCCUCCAUGAUGGUUGGUCCGUGUGGCAGAUUUCUAAGAAAGGGCGAUGUUGGAUUCAUCUGAUGGGUUGUCUGGCAGUAUGUCCACAAGAAGAAUGAUUCUGGAGCAACAACUGGCUUGUAAAGGGGUUGAGUGAGCCAUAGUGGAGCCAAUUGAGAUCUGCAACAACUUGUUCGGAGUUUGGAAGCGUGUUAUUGAAGUUUUUCUUCCACUGGUUGCUGGUGCACAUUUGGCAAUAGACUUUUGGGGAAGCCAGUAAUUCUGCAGAUUCUGGAGGAAGCAGAAAAUCUUCAGGUUAUUCCUUGUUCUCUUAAUUUUCCUUUUCCAAAAAGUGGCAUCAUGGAAAUUUCUGCAAAAUUUAAUGUAGUUUUAUAGGAUUUGACAUAUUUAAGAUUGAUAAUCCAGUCCAUAUCAUCCAUUUUAUUUAUUUUCCACAUCACUAGAGUGGUAGAUAACAAGCGAUGUACCUGAUGCCUGAUGGAUUGUUUGGUAAGUUUGAGAAAUUUCAACUGAAAGUGUAAUUCACUGCACUUAUUGUCUGUAAUAUUUCUAAGUGAGCUUGAAUUUUGUCUCAGAAUGUUGGAACUAUAUUUCAAUUUUAACAGGUUCUAUUUUGCUUGACCACACCA